rnacentral:tRNA from 2 species
GGAGAAAUACCCAAGUCUGGCUGAAGGGGAUGCACUCGAAAUGCAUUAGGGCGGGUAACCGUCGCGUGGGUUCGAAUCCCACUUUCUCCU